GGGAGCACAGGAUCCUGGGCUGUGUCCCCCGGCGCCCUGGGCUCUGGGGCCUUCACCGCUGGAAUCGCACUCCCCGGGCGGGCUCCC
rnacentral:pre_miRNA from 1 species